GACAGCAGCAGCCGCGGUAAUACAGAGGGUGCGAGCGUUAAUCGGAUUUACUGGGCGUAAAGCGUGCGUAGGCGGCUUCUUAAGUCGGAUGUGAAAUCCCUGAGCUUAACUUAGGAAUUGCAUUCGAUACUGGGAAGCUAGAGUAUGGGAGAGGAUGGUAGAAUUCCAGGUGUAGCGGUGAAAUGCGUAGAGAUCUGGAGGAAUACCGAUGGCGAAGGCAGCCAUCUGGCCUAAUACUGACGCUGAGGUACGAAAGCAUGGGGAGCAAACAGGAUUAGAUACCCCCGUAGUCCCUGUCUCUUAUAU
rnacentral:rRNA from 1 species